rnacentral:rRNA from 1 species
AUUGAACGCUGGCGGCCCGCUUAACACAUGCAAGUCGAACGAUGAUUAUCUAGCUUGCUAGAUAUGAUUAGUGGCGGACGGGUGAGUAACAUUUAGGAAUCUGCCUAGUAGUGGGGGAUAGCUCGGGGAAACUCGAAUUAAUACCGCAUACGACCUACGGGAGAAAGGGGGCGCAAGCUCUUGCUAUUAGAUGAGCCUAAAUCAGAUUAGCUAGUUGGUGGGGUAAAGGCCCACCAAGGCGACGAUCUGUAACUGGUCUGAGAGGAUGAUCAGUCACACCGGAACUGAGACACGGGCCGGACUCCUACGGGAGGCAGCAGUGGGGAAUAUUGGACAAUGGGGGCAACCCUGAUCCAGCCAUGCCGCGUGUGUGAAGAAAGCCUUUUGGUUGUAAAGCACUUUAAGCAGGGAGGAGAGGCUAAUGGUUAAUACCCAUUAGAUUAGACGUUACCUGCAGAAUAAGCACCGGCUAACUCUGUGCCAGCAUCCGCGGUAAUACAGACGGUGCGAGCGUUUAUCCGAAUUACUGGGCGUAAAGCGAGUGUAGGUGGCUCAUUAAGUCCAUGUGAAAUCCCCGGGCUUAACCUGGGAACUGCAUGUGAUACUGGUGGUGCUAGAAUAUGUGAGAGGGAAGUAGAAUUCCAGGUGUAGCGGUGAAAUGCGUAGAGAUCUGGAGGAAUACCGAUGGCGAAGGCAGCUUCCUGGCAUAAUAUUGACACUGAGAUUCGAAAGCGUGGGUAGCAAACAGGAUUAGAUACCCUGGUAGUCCACGCCGUAAACGAUGUCUACUAGCCGUUGGGGUCCUUGAGACUUUAGUGGCGCAGUUAACGCGAUAAGUAGACCGCCUGGGGAGUACGGCCGCAAGGUUAAAACUCAAAUGAAUUGACGGGGGCCCGCACAAGCGGUGGAGCAUGUGGUUUAAUUCGAUGCAACGCGAAGAACCUUACCUGGUCUUGACAUAGUGAGAAUCCUGCAGAGAUGCGGGAGUGCCUUCGGGAAUUCACAUACAGGUGCUGCAUGGCUGUCGUCAGCUCGUGUCGUGAGAUGUUGGGUUAAGUCCCGCAACGAGCGCAACCCUUUUCCUUAUUUGCCAGCGGGUUAAGCCGGGAACUUUAAGGAUACUGCCAGUGACAAACUGGAGGAAGGCGGGGACGACGUCAAGUCAUCAUGGCCCUUACGACCAGGGCUACACACGUGCUACAAUGGUAGGUACAGAGGGUUGCUACACAGCGAUGUGAUGCUAAUCUCAAAAAGCCCUAUCGUAGUCCGGAUUGGAGUCUGCAACUCGACUCCAUGAAGUCCGAAUCGCUAGUAAUCGCAGAUCAAAAUGCUGCGGGGAAUACGUUCCCCGGGCCU